rnacentral:rRNA from 1 species
AUGAACGUUUGCGGCGCGCCUAACACAUGCAAGUCGAGCGAGAAAGCUCCUUCGGGAGUAAGUACAGCGGCGGACGGGUGAGUAUCGCGUGGGAAUCUGCCUUUUAGUGAGGAAUACCCUUGAGAAAUCGAGGUUAAUACCGCAUAAGUCCCCUUGGGGAGAAAGAUGGCCUCUUGCUGUCGCUAAAAAGAUGAGCCUGCGUACUAUUAGCUAGUUGGCGGUGUAAAAGACCACCAAGGCGACGAUGGGUAGCUGGUCUGAGAGGAUGGUCAGCCACACUGGGACUGAGAUACGGCCCAGACUCCUACGGGAGGCAGCAGUCGAGAGGCUUUGGCAAUGGGGGAAACCCUGACCAAGCGACGCCGCGUGGAGGAUGAAGGCCCUUGGGUUGUAAACUCCUUUUGUUGGGGAAGAACCGCGAUCAGGUGAACAAUCUGGUCGCCUGACGGUACCCGACGAAUAAGCUCCGGCUAACUCCGUGCCAGCAGCCGCGGUAAACACGGGGGGAGCAAGCGUUGUUCGGAAUCACUGGGCGUAAAGGGCGUGUAGGCGGUCAAGUAAGUGGAAUGUGAAAUCCCUCGGCUUACCCGAGGACCUGCAUCCCAAACUGCUUGGCUCGAGUAUGGGAGAGGAUGAGGGAAUUCCUGGUGUAGCGGUGAAAUGCGUAGAUAUCAGGAGGAACACCGGUGGCGAAAAGCGCUCAUCUGGCCCAAUACUGACGCUGGGGGCGCGAAAGCUAGGGGAGCAAACGGGAUUAGAUACCCCGGUAGUCCUAGCCGUAAACGGUGAUCACUAGGUGUUGGAGGCAUCGACCCCUCCAGUGCCGCAGCUAACGCAUUAAGUGAUCCGCCUGGGGAGUACGGCCGCAAGGUUGAAACUCAAAGGAAUUGACGGGGGGCCCGCACAAGCGGUGGAGCAUGUGGUUUAAUUCGACGCAACGCGAAGAACCUUACCCAGACUUGACAUGCAUUGGACGCGUGUGGAAACACACGUCCCCUUCGGGGCCGGUGCACAGGUGCUGCAUGGCUGUCGUCAGCCUCGUGUCGUGAGAUGUUGGGUUAAGUCCCGCAACGAGCGCAAACCCUUGUCCCUAGUUGCUAACGGAUAAUGCUGAGCACUCUAGGGAGACUGCCGGUGGUAAACCGGAGGAAGGUGGGGAUGACGUCAAGUCCUCAUGGCCCUUACGUCUGGGGCUACACACGUGCUACAAUGGCCGGUACAAAGGGUUCCGAUACCGCGAGGUGGAGGCAAUCUCAAAAAAACCGGUCUCAGUUCGGAUUGCAGUCUGCAACUCGACUGCAUGAAGUUGGAAUCGCUAGUAAUCGCUGAUCGGCAGGCAGCGGUGAAUACGUUCCCGGGCCUUGUACACACCGCCCGUCAAGCCACGAAAGUCGGCAGCACCCGAAGUCGCCACGCCAACCGUAAGGGGGGCAAGCGCCUAAGGUGAGGCCGGUGAUUGGGGCU